CCUCAGGUGCAGCGCGGAUCCCUCCGCCGCAGCGUGCACCGCCGGCAGCGCGGCGCUCGGCUUUCCGGCAGUACCCGGAUGGACGGGUAAUGGCCGCCAUCUGGGACUCGCUGGCCAUGGGGACCACGGCAGAUACUGUCUCUUUUGAUCACUGUUCCUGAUUAUGGCACUGUCCCAGCACUGAGUGGUGUGCCUUCGUUCCUGGGAGAAAGGUGAUCCUAGCAGUUUCCUGUUCUUCCUGGCUUCUGGACUCAGCAGAAAACUCGGGAUUCCUUUCUUUCUCAUAUCUUGGCCUGAGCCAUCUGUCACCCAGAGAGCUUCAGUCUGACCUUUCAUUCAAGCCUCAAUCUUUCCGACUCUCCCAAGGUAUGUUUAGUGGAUAAAGGGGACAAAUUUCUGU